CACAUGAAAAAUUAUACCAAUUAAACACAAUAAUUUACAAUGUUCAGGAAAACAAUUUCUAGGCAAUUCAAUUUCCUAGAAUUAGUUUUCAAUUCUAAGGUAUUUCUACAGAUUAGCUUGAGUUGGACUUUUCUUUUACCGAUAACUCUUGUUGUUCUUGGAUCUUCAAGAUUGACUCACCUCUCCAUUUCAUUUGUUCCCCCUCACUAUUUCCUCAUAGCUUUCUUAAGUUUUCAUUUUGUGGCAAUUAUACCACCACAAUUUUUAUUUGAUACACUACAUUUUAAUUACAGUUAAACUCCUCAAUUUUUGCUCAUUAUAGUAAUUAUUUUGUUAACUUUUUCCGUUGAAUCCUUAUUUUUAACCUUCCAUUAAUUAGUAUAUCUUGUAUUUGAUGGCGAUUUAUAUCUAAUUAUUUUAUUUUCAUGCUUUGAAAUAAGGAAAAAGUAUUUUUUUUCUUGCAGUUUUUAUUUAUUUAUUUUUUAAAUAUGAUGGUAAAAUAAGUAUUUUCAACAGACCUUGGACAUAAAAUUAUUAUCAAAUAC
rnacentral:lncRNA from 1 species